UCGGAAGCAAGGAGCAACAGAGUAUCUGUGAAUCAGACGUACAGGAUUGUUUCCAGUUCCUGGGCUUUUGCAUCACAUAUUUUCAGAGUGAAGAAAACAGAAAAUAAAUGGUUUUCAUUCUUUGGAAGCUACAUCCUGCCUUAGAAAGAACUGUGUCCAAACUUUUCUUGAAAACAUUUCAUCUGACAAACAUGUUGGAGUGCUCUCAGAUGGGAGUGGACCAUUCCUGUGUAGCAGUAUCAUGAGCUCUGCUUUGCCUACUAAGACCUUUCUGGAAACCGUGGGAGCUCUCUGCCCUCCAGCCAACGGGGAAGCAGCAGAAUGAAGAGGGCUAAUAGCGGCUGUCAACUGAGAGUGCUCAGGGUUGCUGUGGCUCUUCCCCUCCUCAGGAGGCAACAAAGAUUACAAGGUAUACAUUUUGUGGUGAAAGGACACGCUGUGAUUCCUGACUGCUUCAUGACCACAUUGAGCACACUGAUUCACGCCAUUGGAGUUUGUUUAAAUUGAUGCUGACAGAUGACAUCUCUUAUUGAAUUUCUCAGAAUUUAUGUCUGUUGUGAGGUAUGACGGUGAUGCAUAUGAAUGGAAGGCGCAAUCAAGCAUAUUACAUUUGUAAGACAUCACUAAACCAUCGGAUUAGCCGUGAUUCUGUAUAGGAAGGGCUCUAACUGGCUGCAGAUGGCUCACUACUGCUAAGCUGAAGGAGAGGCAUGAUGGCGGACAGAGACUCCCAACAGGAAACAGGUUCACUGCAUUCCACCAGCAUAUUAGAUGUCCUCUUUGAAUUCAACUGUUACAAUUUUCUCUAAAUUAAACAAAUUUUACUCUUAAGGAAGUUUGAUACAAAAGGUGAGUUAUUUCAAUUGGCCUCAGUUAUCAAUAUUAUAGUUAUGAACAUAUAAAAUAUCUGGACAUUGAGAUAAAUUUGACCCAGAGUUAAGAAAUCUUGGUACAAAUUUCAAUUGUGGCCAGAAGAAGUUUAUUAAAUAGGUGUCUCCAAGAGAGUUUCAUUUUCUACUUACGUAUUCUCUCCUUUCCUUCUCUUUUCUCUCCUUUUCUUUCACUAAACAUAUACUUGGCAGAUAUUCCUUCAAAAAUAAUGUAAGGAGAAAUAAUUAAAGCUAUGGGUCAUGCCUAGAGAACUCUCCAUCUAGUUACCCCCACUUCUUUAACAAACUCCAUAAUGCUGUGUGCUUCUAGGUUUUCAAGAUAGAACUAGUGUUCUAAUCAUUAAUUAAGCUGUUCAAUCGUACUAUCAAAGUAUGAGAUUCAAACUCAACUGCUAUUGCACUAAUCAGUGCAAAACACAAAGCUGGAAGGCCUUAUUACUUUUAACAAGUACUCACAAUAACCUUUGUCUUACAUUGGAUGACAAACUAUUAUUUAUUUUAACAAAGAUCAAGUUUGAGUUUUGCAUUAAGCUCUUAAAAUAAUC